AUUGAACGCUGGCGGAACGCUUUACACAUGCAAGUCGAACGGUAACGCGGAGAGAAGCUUGCUUCUCUCCGGCGACGAGUGGCGAACGGGUGAGUAAUACAUCGGAACGUGUCCGCUCGUGGGGGACAACCAGCCGAAAGGUUGGCUAAUACCGCAUGAGUUUUACGGAAGAAAGAGGGGGACCCGCAAGGGCCUCUCGCGAGCGGAGCGGCCGAUGACUGAUUAGCCGGUUGGUGAGGUAACGGCUCACCAAAGCAACGAUCAGUAGCUGGUCUGAGAGGACGACCAGCCACACUGGGACUGAGACACGGCCCAGACUCCUACGGGAGGCAGCAGUGGGGAAUUUUGGACAAUGGGCGCAAGCCUGAUCCAGCUAUUCCGCGUGUGGGAUGAAGGCCCUCGGGUUGUAAACCACUUUUGUAGAGAACGAAAAGACACCUUUUAAAAAAGGGUGUUGCUGACG
rnacentral:rRNA from 1 species